UAGAUAGAAGUUCGCUGGAUUGAACACUUAGUUGUUAAUUAAGCUUUUACAGGAUCGAGGCCUGUCUAUCUAG
rnacentral:tRNA from 1 species